rnacentral:rRNA from 1 species
AGCAGCCGCGGUAAUUCCAGCUCCAAUAGCGUAUAUUAAAGUUGUUGCAGCUAAAAAGCUCGCAGUUGAAUUUCGGGAUCUGUCCAUUGGUCGGGCCUCACGGUCCGUACUGGUGUGAUGGGUUCCUACCUUCUGAAUAACCAGCAUGCCAUUUAGUUGGUGCGCCGGGGAAGCAGAGCUAUUACCUUGAAAAAUUAGAGUGCUUAAAGCAGGCUAUUUGCUUGAAUAGAUUAGCAUGGAAUAAUAAAAUAGGACGGCAUGGUUCUAUUUUGUUGGUUUCUAGGAUCACCGUAAUGAUUAAUAGGGAUAGUUGGGG